AAGCGUCAUCCAUCACAACGGAUCGUCCGGCACGUACCUGCCGGUGAAGGAGAACACCA
rfam:Mycetocola reblochoni REB411 genome assembly, contig: Scaffold12